rnacentral:lncRNA from 1 species
AUCAAUAAAAAUAUGCAUAUAAUGAUAUUUGAACCACGCCAAUUGGAUAAAUGAAACAUUAAAUUUACCACUCAACCAAAGCUUCAUUUUAAUGUAUUUUAUAUAUUUCUAUUUUAAUAUGCACAAUUUAUUAUCUCCAUUAGUGGUAUAUCUAUACUAUUUAUCAAGUGUUUUACUAAGUGACAAACACUUUCUAGGUCUACAA